UAUUUGAGGGAUGAGUAUAUUUAUCUUUGUAGGUCAUCUAAUAGAGUUUGAUCUAUAUUGUUUGCUCAUAGAACGUACUUCUAUACUGGUUAGGUAAAUGGAGAUGGAAGACAUUGGGGUUCGGGUUCGUGUAAGAGUGCAAAAGAGUAAGUUUUUGCAAGAUGUUAACCAUGUACGAGAGAGUCAAGAAGAGGCUGUGAGUAGAAGGAGGUUCUUUGCAGGCUAGACAAGUUUUUGCAAGAUGGUAGUAGUGUAUGAGAGAGUCAAGAGAAGGCUGUGAGUAGAAGACGGUUCUUUGCUGGCUAGACAAUGUUGAAUAUGGUUUUUAUUUUAUUUAUUUUUUCUGUUUUUGUUAGACCCUUUUUGUUCACUUAUUUUUCCUGACUAUUAUGCCCAAAGUAGUAAAAUUGACAGGACCCGCCCCGGAAUUUCCCGAAGACAGAAGCGGAUCCCGUCUUUAUUCCGACAUCAUCCCGAUGCCGGGCCCACCUACUAAGAA